rnacentral:rRNA from 1 species
UGAGUCCUACGGGACGCAGCAGUGGGGAAUAUUGCACAAUGGGGGAAACCCUGAUGCAGCGACGCCGCGUGAGUGAAGAAGCGUUUCGGCGCGUAAAGCUCUGUCAGCGGGGAAGAAACACGGUUCGCGAGAGCCGCGGACGGUACCCGACCAAGAAGCCCCGGCUAACUACGUGCCAGCAGCCGCGGUAAUACGGAGGAUGCGAGCGUUAUCCGGAUUUAUUGGGUUUAAAGGGUGCGUAGGCGGUCCGUUAAGUCAGCGGUAAAAUUGCGGGGCUCAACCCCGUCGAGCCGUUGAAACUGGCA